AGGAGGCCUGGCCUUGGCACCUCUCACGGGUGAUGAAAAGAUCUGACGACGUGCAAAGCUAAGCUGUAAACACACCUCAUAAUUUCUGCUCAUAAAAACGACAUGUGGGAAGCGGCUGUAAAACCACUUCUUAGGAACCAUCUCAAUCGGCCAGACAUAGUGUGUUGACAAGCCAUUCUCACACAGAACGCAAGCGCCGUGACUCAGACAAUUAAGGCCAUCUCUCGCCCAUGCCCUGGCUUAUGCGCUGGAUGCUCUAUCUUUGCUCCGCCCCAGAAGCAAACCUCCAGAAGGCCAGGGACCUCUGCCAGGCGAGGACUUGGGAUAGAGCGUGGCACAAGACACAGCAGGCGGACGGCUCAAGGAAGGGAGAACAGGGCUGCCCUGAGUCCAGAGAUGAAAAGCAAGUUUGUUCCCAGCCAAGAGGCAGGAGGGCCGGGAAGAGGAAUGUCAGGCAGGGGAAGGGACAGCAUGGAGACAAGGACGGACGUCCGGCUGCCUCCCUGAGACCUACCAACUCCCCCCUCUCCCGCUGCACACCAGCAAGGCACUCGAACUUACAAAGAGCCAUCAAGGAGGCUGACUGGGCACUAUACGCUCAUAAAAGCCAGGUGAGAAUCAGGGCAGGAGUUGCCACCCCCACAGGGGAGGGGAGAGCCAAGGUCAGACAGCAGGUCCGGACAGGGCUGGAGCCACCAGUGCAUCCUGUGCAUACCCCAACCUGACCCAUCAGAGUGGACUGUGGGGUGGGGAGCAGG